CUCCUCGAAUCAGGUAGGGAUACCCGCUGAACUUAA
rnacentral:rRNA from 1 species